GACGAACGCUGGCGGCGUGCCUAACACAUGCAAGUCGAGCGAAUGAAGUUCCUUCGGGAACGGAUUUAGCGGCGGACGGGUGAGUAACACGUGGGCAACCUGCCUCAUAGAGGGGAAUAGCCUUCCGAAAGGGAGAUUAAUACCGCAUAAGAUUGUAGUACCGCAUGGUACAGCAAUUAAAGGAGCAAUCCGCUAUGAGAUGGGCCCGCGGCGCAUUAGCUAGUUGGUGAGGUAACGGCUCACCAAGGCGACGAUGGGUAGCCGACCUGAGAGGGUGAUCGGCAACAUUGGGACUGAGACACGGCCCAGACUCCUACGGGAGGCAGCAGUGGGGAAUAUUGCACAAUGGGGGAAACCCUGAUGCAGCAACGCCGCGUGAGUGAUGACGGCCUUCGGGCUGUAAAGCUCUGUCUUCAGGGACGAUAAUGACGGUACCUGAGGAGGAAGCCACGGCUAACUACGUGCCAGCCGCCGCGGUAAGAC
rnacentral:rRNA from 1 species